GAGGAGGUCCCGGAGAGCUCAGAGAGGGAACCAGACGACCCUCUCUUCUGUCUGUCUCUGUCUGUGUGUGUGUGCGUGGCAUAUGUGUCCGUAUGUCGCCCCCACUUCCCCUCUUUGUGUCCACCAGAUGGCGACCCAGCCGCGGAGCCGAACCCCAGGGAGGAGGUUCCUGACCCAAAUGUGCUGGUCCAAGGCGAGGUGGACAAGCCCCAAGGUACGGGAGUCCGGGGCCGCCAUGCGGGACCACGCCGGGGAGCCAGGCCGAGGGUCCGGGGCCGCCAUGCGGGACCACGCCGGGGAGCCAGGCCGAGGGUCCGGGGCCGCCAUGCGGGACCACGCCGGGGAGCCAGGCCGAGGGUCCGGGGCCGCCAUGCGGGACCACGCCGGGGAGCCAGGCCGAGGGUCCGGGGCCGCCAAGCGGGACCACGCCGGGGAGCCAGGCCGAGGGUCCGGGGCCGCCAUGCGGGACCACGCCGGGGAGCCAGGCCGAGGGUCCGGGGCCGCCAUGCGGGACCACGCCGGGGAGCCAGGCCGAGGGUCCGGGGCCGCCAAGCGGGACCACGCCGGGGAGCCAGGCCGAGGGUCCGGGGCCGCCAAGCGGGACCACGCCGGGGAGCCAGGCCGAGGGUCCGGGGCCGCCAAGCGGGACCACGCCGGGGAGCCAGGCCGAGGGACCGGGGCCGCCACGCCUGACCACGCCGGGGAGCCAGCCCGAGGGACCGGGGCCGCCACGCCUGACCACGCCGGGGAGCCAGCCCGAGGGACCGGGGCCGCCACGCCUGACCACGCCGGGGAGCCAGCCCGAGGGACCGGGGCCGCCACGCCUGACCACGCCGGGGAGCCAGCCCGAGGGACCGGGGCCGCCACGCCUGACCACGCCGGGGAGCCAGCCCGAGGGACCGGGGCCGCCACGCCUGACCACGCCGGGGAGCCAGCCCGAGGGACCGGGGCCGCCACGCCUGACCACGCCGGGGAGCCAGCCCGAGGGACCGGGUCCUCCAAGGGGAGGAUACAGCAGGGCAGGAGCCCUGAGGUUGCCGCC
rnacentral:lncRNA from 1 species